AACGCACAUUGCGCCCUCUGGUAUUCCGGGGGGCAUGCCUGUUCGAGCGUCAUUAUAACCACUCAAGCUCUCGCUUGGUAUUGGGGCUCGCGGUUUCGCGGCUCCUAAAAUCAGUGGCGGUGCCUAUCGGCUCUACGCGUAGUAAUACUCCUCGCGAUUGAGUCCGGUAGGUCUACUUGCCAGCAACCCCUAAUUUUUUUAAGGUUGACCUCGGAUCAGGUAGGGAUACCCGCUGAACUUAA
rnacentral:misc_RNA from 1 species